UGGGGUGUGGCAAGUCGUUCGGGACAUAGAGGCCGGAGGUUCGAAUCCUCUCACCCCGACCA
rnacentral:tRNA from 1 species